rnacentral:rRNA from 1 species
GUGUCAGCCGCCGCGGUAAUACAGAGGGUGCGAGCGUUGUUCGGAAUUAUUGGGCGUAAAGCGCAUGUAGGCGGGUUGUUAAGUCGCGUGUGAAAGCCCCAGGCUCAACCUGGGAAGUGCGCGCGAAACUGGUGACCUUGAGUGCUGGAGAGGGUGGCGGAAUUCCCGGUGUAGAGGUGAAAUUCGUAGAUAUCGGGAGGAACACCAGAGGCGAAGGCGGCCACCUGGACAGACACUGACGCUGAGACGCGAAAGCGUGGGGAGCAAACAGGAUUAGAUACCCUAGUAGUCC